UACAGAGGUCUCAAGCGUUGUUCGGAUUCAUUGGGCGUAAAGGGUGCGUAGGCGGCGCGGUAAGUCGGGUGUGAAAUCUCACCGCUUAACGGUGAAAUGGCGUUCGAUACUGCUCAGCUAGAGGAUCGGAGGGGAGAGCGGAAUUCUUGGUGUAGCAGUGAAAUGCGUAGAUAUCAAGAGGAACACCGGUGGCGAAGGCGGCUCUCUGGAAGAUUCCUGACUCUGAGACACGAAAGCUAGGGGAGCAAACGGG
rnacentral:rRNA from 1 species